rnacentral:rRNA from 1 species
UUCAGACGAUGCGUCAUGCAUAUCAAUAAGCGGAGGAAAAGAAACUAACAAGGAUUCCCCUAGUAACGGCGAGUGAAGCGGGAAGAGCUCAAAUUUGAAAUCUUAAAGGGUUUCCCUUUACGAAUUGUAGUUUAAAGAAGUGUUUUCUGUUGAGGUUUUGGUAAAAGUUCUUUGGAAUAGGACAUCAUAGAGGGUGAGAAUCCCGUAUUUGACCUUUACUUUCAACUUUGUGAUACACUUUCAAAGAGUCGGAUUGUUUGGGAAUGCAGUCCAAAAUGGGUGGUAAAUUUCAUCUAAAGCUAAAUAUUGGCGAGAGACCGAUAGCGAACAAGUACCGUGAGGGAAAGAUGAAAAGAACUUUGAAAAGAGAGUUAAACAGUACGUGAAAUUGUCAAAAGGGAAGCGUUUGACACCAGUGUUGUUUUUCUGAAAAUCAAUUAAAGAACUGUUUAUGCUAAGCUGUUUAGACUUUAUCAGCUAUCUGUUUAGUUUUGAGCUUUUCUUUAAUGCACUUUUCAGUUAACAAGUCAACAUCAAUUUCUUUUGCUGUAAAGAAGCUUGAGGAAGGUGGCUUGAGAUUCGUCUUAAGUGUUUAUAGCCUCUUGCCUAUGCAGUCGGAGAGAUUGAGGUCUGCAGCGUAGAUCCUUCGGGGCUAAAUGCAUUUGUGCUAAGUUAUAGCAUUUUAUAGACAACUUGUUGACUAUGAUUUGUCUUGUAGCUUACUCGCUUAUGUUAUUUUACCUACGCUUAGGAUGUUGAAUCUGUGCGAGACUAC